rnacentral:rRNA from 1 species
GAUGAACGCUGGCGGCGUGCUUAACACAUGCAAGUCGAACGAAGCAUUUAGAACAGAUUAUUUCGGUAUGAAGUUCUUUAUGACUGAGUGGCGGACGGGUGAGUAACGCGUGGGUAACCUGCCUUGUACUGGGGGAUAGCAGCUGGAAACGGCUGGUAAUACCGCAUAAGCGCACAAUGUUGCAUGACAUGGUGUGAAAAACUCCGGUGGUAUAAGAUGGACCCGCGUCUGAUUAGCUAGUUGGUGAGAUAACAGCCCACCAAGGCGACGAUCAGGAGCCGACCGGAGAGGGUGACCGGCCACAUUGGGACUGAGACACGGCCCAGACUCCUGCGGGAGGCAGCAGUGGGGAAUAUUGCACAAUGGAGGAAACUCUGAUGCAGCGACGCCGCGUGAGUGAAGAAGUAAUUCGUUAUGUAAAGCUCUAUCAGCAGGGAAGAUAGUGACGGUACCUGACUAAGAAGCUCCGGCUAAAUACGCGCCAGCCGCCGCUGUAA